GGGUCGGUGGUGCAGUGGUAGCAUAUGCCCGCGGCGACGUUCUCUUCCGCGGCAAGACCCAGGUUCAAUUCCUGGCUGACCUG